AUUGAACGCUGGCGGCAGGCCUAACACAUGCAAGUCGAACGGUAGCACAGAGAGCUUGCUCUCGGGUGACGAGUGGCGGACGGGUGAGUAAUGUCUGGGAAACUGCCCGAUGGAGGGGGAAACUACUGGAAACGGUAGCUAAUACCGCAUAACGUCGCAAGACCAAAGUGGGGGACCUUCGGGCCUCACACCAUCGGAGGUGCCCAGAUGGGAUUAGCUAGUAAGUGGGGUAAUGGCUCACCUAGGCGACGAUCCCUAGCUGGUCUGAGAGGAUGACCAGCCACACUGGAACUGAGACACGGUCCAGACUCCUACGGGAGGCAGCAGUGGGGAAUAUUGCACAAUGGGCGCAAGCCUGAUGCAGCCAUGCCGCGUGUAUGAAGAAGGCCUUCGGGUUGUAAAGUACUUUCAGCGGGGAGGAAGGCGGUGAAGUUAAUAACUUCACCGAUUGACGUUACCCGCAGAAGAAGCACCGGCUAACUCCGUGCCAGCCGCCGCCGUAA
rnacentral:rRNA from 1 species